GUCCCCAUCGUCUAGUGGCCUAGGACACCGGCCUUUCACGCCGGUAACCAGGGUUCGACUCCCUGUGGGGACGCCA
rnacentral:tRNA from 2 species